rnacentral:rRNA from 1 species
GCUCAGGACGAACGCUGGCGGCGCGCCUAACACAUGCAAGUCGAGGGGCAGCAUCAUCAAAGCUUGCUUUGAUGGAUGGCGACCGGCGCACGGGUGAGUAACACGUAUCCAACCUGCCGACAACACUGGGAUAGCCUUUCGAAAGAAAGAUUAAUACCGGAUGGCAUAGUCUUCCCGCAUGGGAUGACUAUUAAAGAAUUUCGGUUGUCGAUGGGGAUGCGUUCCAUUAGGUAGUUGGCGGGGUAACGGCCCACCAAAACUACGAUGGAUAGGGGUUCUGAGAGGAAGGUCCCCCACAUUGGAACUGAGACACGGUCCAAACUCCUACGGGAGGCAGCAGUGAGGAAUAUUGGUCAAUGGACGAGAGUCUGAACCAGCCAAGUAGCGUGAAGGAUGACUGCCCUAUGGGUUGUAAACUUCUUUUAUAUGGGAAUAAAGUAUUCCACGUGUGGAAUUUUGUAUGUACCAUAUGAAUAAGGAUCGGCUAACUCCGUGCCAGCAGCCGCGGUAAUACGGAGGAUCCGAGCGUUAUCCGGAUUUAUUGGGUUUAAAGGGAGCGUAGGUGGAUUGUUAAGUCAGUUGUGAAAGUUUGCGGCUCAACCGUAAAAUUGCAGUUGAAACUGGCAGUCUUGAGUACAGUAGAGGUGGGCGGAAUUCGUGGUGUAGCGGUGAAAUGCUUAGAUAUCACGAAGAACUCCGAUUGCGAAGGCAGCUCACUAGACUGCAACUGACACUGAUGCUCGAAAGUGUGGGUAUCAAACAGGAUUAGAUACCCUGGUAGUCCACACAGUAAACGAUGAAUACUCGCUGUUUGCGAUAUACAGUAAGCAGCCAAGCGAAAGCAUUAAGUAUUCCACCUGGGGAGUACGCCGGCAACGGUGAAACUCAAAGGAAUUGACGGGGGCCCGCACAAGCGGAGGAACAUGUGGUUUAAUUCGAUGAUACGCGAGGAACCUUACCCGGGCUUAAAUUGCAUUUGAAUAAUCUGGAAACAGGUUAGCCGCAAGGCAAAUGUGAAGGCGCUGCAUGGUUGUCGUCAGCUCGUGCCGUGAGGUGUCGGCUUAAGUGCCAUAACGAGCGCAACCCUUAUCUUUAGUUACUAACAGGUCAUGCUGAGGACUCUAGAGAGACUGCCGUCGUAAGAUGUGAGGAAGGUGGGGAUGACGUCAAAUCAGCACGGCCCUUACGUCCGGGGCUACACACGUGUUACAAUGGGGGGUACAGAAGGCAGCUACCUGGCGACAGGAUGCUAAUCCCAAAAACCUCUCUCAGUUCGGAUCGAAGUCUGCAACCCGACUUCGUGAAGCUGGAUUCGCUAGUAAUCGCGCAUCAGCCAUGGCGCGGUGAAUACGUUCCCGGGCCUUGUACACACCGCCCGUCAAGCCAUGGGAGCCGGGGGUACCUGAAGUGCGUAACCGCGAGGAGCGCCCUAGGGUA